CAGAAAAUAGUUUAUAAAAUAUUAAUUUUGGGAAUUAAAGAUAAAGGAUUUUUCUUUUUUUCUGA
rnacentral:tRNA from 2 species